rnacentral:rRNA from 1 species
AUACGUAGGGAGCGAGCGUUGUCCGGAAUUACUGGGUGUAAAGGGAGCGUAGGCGGGAGUGCAAGUCAGAUGUGAAAUACAUGGGCUCAACCCAUGGGCUGCAUUUGAAACUGCAUUUCUUGAGUGAAGUAGAGGUAAGCGGAAUUCCUGGUGUAGCGGUGAAAUGCGUAGAUAUCAGGAGGAACACCGGUGGCGAAGGCGGCUUACUGGGCUUUUACUGACGCUGAGGCUCAAAAGCGUGGGGAGCAAACAGGAUUAGAUACCCUGGUAGUCCACGCUGUAAACGAUGAUUACUAGGUGUGGGGGGACUGACCCCUUCCGUGCCGCAGUUAACACAAUAAGUAAUCCACCUGGGGAGUACGGCCGCAAGGUUGAAACUCAAAUGAAUUGACGGGG